rnacentral:rRNA from 1 species
UACGUAGGGACCGAGCGUUGUCCGGAAUCAUUGGGCGUAAAGAGCGUGUAGGCGGCUCGCUAAGUCUUGCGUGAAAUCUCGGGGCUCAACCCCGAGCGGUCGUGAGAAACUGGCGGGCUAGAGUGCGGGAGAGGAGAGUGGAAUUCCUGGUGUAGCGGUGAAAUGCGCAGAUAUCAGGAAGAACACCCGUGGCGAAGGCGGCUCUCUGGAACGCGACUGACGCUGAGACGCGAAAGCGUGGGGAGCAAACAGG